AAUCUACUCCCUCCGUCCAACAAAAGAUGUCUCAAGUUUGUCAAAUUUAAAUAUACCUAGUCAUGACUUAGUGUAUAGAUGCAUUCAAAUUUAGUCAAAGUUGAAACAUUAUUUGUUGGACGGAGUGAGUAUAUC
rfam:Brachypodium distachyon strain Bd21 chromosome 1, whole genome shotgun sequence.